rnacentral:rRNA from 1 species
CAGUAGCCGCGGGAAAACGAAGGGGGCUAGCGUUGCUCGGAAUCACUGGGCGUAAAGGGUGCGUAGGCGGGUCUUUAAGUCAGGGGUGAAAUCCUGGAGCUCAACUCCAGAACUGCCUUUGAUACUGAAGAUCUUGAGUUCGGGAGAGGUGAGUGGAACUGCGAGUGUAGAGGUGAAAUUCGUAGAUAUUCGCAAGAACACCAGUGGCGAAGGCGGCCCACUGGCCCGAUACUGACGCUGAGGCACGAAAGCGUGGGGAGCAAACAGGAUUAGAUACCCCUGUAGUCCCUGUCUCUUAUAC